UACGUAGGGUGCAAGCGCUAAUCGGAAUUACUGGGCGUAAAGCGUGCGCAGGCGGUGAUGUAAGCCAGUUGUGAAAUCCCCGGGCUCAACCUGGGAACUGCAUCUGUGACUGCAUCGCUGGAGUGCGGCAGAGGGGGAUGGAAUUCCGCGUGUAGCAGUGAAAUGCGUAGAUAUGCGGAGGAACACCGAUGGCGAAGGCAAUCCCCUGGGCCUGCACUGACGCUCAUGCACGAAAGCGUGGGGAGCAAACAGG
rnacentral:rRNA from 1 species